UAUACAUGACUCUGCGCAUAUCAAUAAGCGGAGGAAAAGAAACUAACAAGGAUUCCCUCAGUAACGGCGAGUGAAGCGGGAAGAGCUCAAAUUUGAAAUCUUGAAAGGUCACCUUUCACGAAUUGUAGUUUAAAGAAGUGUUUUCUGUUACGAUCGUAAUAUAAGUUCUUUGGAAUAGGACAUCACAGAGGGUGAGAAUCCCGUCUAUGAUUGCGAUUUGUAGCUUUGUGAUACACUUUCAAAGAGUCGGGUUGUUUGGGAAUGCAGCCCAAAACGGGAGGUAAAUUUCUUCUAAGGCUAAAUAUUGGCGAGAGACCGAUAGCGAACAAGUACCGUGAGGGAAAGAUGAAAAGAACUUUGAAAAGAGAGUUAAAUAGUACGUGAAAUUGUCAAAAGGGAAGCGUUUAACACCAGUGUUGUUUUCUGAAAAUCAACCUCUGUUAGCUUUAUGCAUGUUUGUUUAGACCUAAUCAGCUAUCUUGCAUGUUCUAUUGUUUGCAGUGGUGCACUUUUCAGUUUACAGGUCAACAUCAGUUUUUUUUACCGUAAAAAAGUUAAAGAAAGGUAGCUCAUGGCUCCGGUCGUGAGUGUUAUAGUCUUUUUCCUAUGCGGUAGGAGAGACUGAGGUCUGCAGUGUAGGCUAUUUGGCUAGAUACUCAGGUGCUAUGUGAUACCAUUUCAUAAACAACUUGUUGAUUAUGUUUUGUCUAUUGCAUACUCGCUUGUACUAUCAUACCUACGCUUAGGAUGUUGAGUCGUAGAGCACGCAG
rnacentral:rRNA from 1 species